rnacentral:rRNA from 1 species
UACGGGGGGGGCAAGCGUUGUUCGGAAUUACUGGGCGUAAAGGGCUCGUAGGUGGCCAACUAAGUCAGACGUGAAAUCCCUCGGCUUAACCGGGGAACUGCGUCUGAUACUGGAUGGCUUGAGUUUGGGAGAGGGAUGCGGAAUUCCAGGUGUAGCGGUGAAAUGCGUAGAUAUCUGGAGGAACACCGGUGGCGAAGGCGGCAUCCUGGACCACGACUGACACUGAAAAGCGAAAGCCAGGGGAGCAAACGGG